AUACUUUCCUUGCAGGGGAGACACCUUGAUCACGAGGUUCACCCAGUGAGGCUCGGCCAUUGCACUCCGGCAAUGCUGACCCCUGCGAAUUUCCCAAAUGUGGGAAUCGUGACUGCAUCAUUUGUAGUAAUAGGGGACUGCUUGCGUCUAGCCUGUC